UACGUAGGGGCUAGCGUUAUCCGGAAUUACUGGGCGUAAAGGGUGCGUAGGUGGUUUCUUAAGUCAGAGGUGAAAGGCUACGGCUCAACCGUAGUAAGCCUUUGAAACUGGGAAACUUGAGUGCAGGAGAGGAGAGUGGAAUUCCUAGUGUAGCGGUGAAAUGCGUAGAUAUUAGGAGGAACACCAGUUGCGAAGGCGGCUCUCUGGACUGUAACUGACACUGAGGCACGAAAGCGUGGGGAGCAAACAGGAUUAGAUACCCCUGUAGUCCCUGAG
rnacentral:rRNA from 1 species